CGGCGAGCGAAGAACAGUUCAGCACUAAGCCAUUUUGUCUUUAAGGCAAAUAUGGGAUGCAGUGUAUGGAAUAUCUAUAAUCUAGUAUGAGAAAUUAGCGAUUUAAGUCCUUCUUAAAUGAGGCCAUAUACCCAUAGAGGGUGCCAGGCCCGUAUAACGUUAAUGAUUACUAGAAGAUAUUUCCAAAGAGUCAUGUUGCUUGAUAGUGCAGCACUAAGUGGGUGGUAAACUCCAUCUAAAACUAAAUAUAACCAUGAGACCGAUAGUAAACAAGUACCGUGAGGGAAAGUUGAAAAGAACUCUGAAUAGAGAGUUAAAUAGUACGUGAAACUGCUUAGAGGUUAAACCCGAUGAACCUGAAUAUCCAUUAUGAAAAAUUCAAUACUAAUAAUAAAAUAUAUAAAAAAAAAAUAUUUUAAAAAUAGUGUGCAAUUUUUUCAUAUAAGGACAUUGUAAUCUGUUAAUGUAAUAAAUAUUUAUCAUAAGAUCCAUUACUUAAGUUUAUUUAAAUUGUUUAUUUUCGAAUAUUCAACAUAAAAUAAAUGUUUUGGAUUUGAUAAAUCAUUGACAGAUAUAAUUAUAUAUUGUGCUUAAAUUUUACGGAAUUUUACAAUAAUAAAUAAAUCUAUUGAUUUAUAUAUUUAAAAUUGUAUGCACUUUUAUGAUUAACAAUGCGAUAGAUUCAGGAUACCUUCGGGACCCGUCUUGAAACACGGACCAAGGAGUCUAACAUAUGUGCAAGUCAUUGGGUAUUUUUAAUAAAACCCAAUGGCGUAAUUAACUUAACUGUUAUAUAUAAUGGGAUUAAUUUAUAAUUUGUUAUGAAUUAUUUAUUCAAUCCCGGGGCGUUCUAUAUAGUUAUGCAUAAUGAUAUUUAUAUUAUUUAUGUCUCUAACUAGAGCGUACCUUGAGCAUAUAUGCUGUGACCCGAAAGAUGGUGAACUAUACUUGAUCAGGUUGAAGUCAGGGGAAACCCUGAUGGAAGACCGAAACAGUUCUGACGUGCAAAUCGAUUGUCAGAAUUGAGUAUAGGGGCGAAAGACUAAUCGAACCAUCUAGUAGCUGUCCCUCCGAGUCCUCC
rnacentral:rRNA from 1 species